rnacentral:rRNA from 1 species
UUAAAUUGAGAGUUUGAUCCUGGCUCAGGAUGAACGCUGGCGGCGUGCUUAACACAUGCAAGUCGAGCGAUGAAGUUUCCUUCGGGAAACGGAUUAGCGGCGGACGGGUGAGUAACACGUGGGUAACCUGCCUCAUAGAGUGGAAUAGCCUUCCGAAAGGAAGAUUAAUACCGCAUAAUGUUGAAAGAUGGCAUCAUCAUUCAACCAAAGGAGCAAUACGCUAUGAGAUGGACCCGCGGCGCAUUAGCUAGUUGGUGGGGUAACGGCCUACCAAGGCGACGAUGCGUAGCCGACCUGAGAGGGUGAUCGGCCACAUUGGGACUGAGACACGGCCCAGACUCCUACGGGAGGCAGCAGUGGGGAAUAUUGCACAAUGGGGG